rnacentral:tRNA from 1 species
GGAGAAAUGAAGACUGAAGCAAUGUUGUCUCGAAAACAGAUGUGCCCGCAAGGGUACCGGGGGUUCGAAUCCCUCCCUCUCCG